rnacentral:rRNA from 1 species
GCAUGGCUGUCGUCAGCUCAUGUCGUGAGAUGUUGGGUUAAGUCCCGUUAACGACGCGCAACCCUUGUCCUUAGGUUUACCAGCACGUUAUGGUGGGCACUCCAAGGAGACUGCCGGUGACAAACCGGAGGAAGGUGGGGAUGACGUCAAGUCAUCAUGGCCCUUACGGCCUGGGCUACACACGUGCUACAAUGGUCGGUACAAAGGGUUGCCAAGCCGCGAGGUGGAGCUAAUCCCAUAAAACCGAUCGUAGUCCGGAUCGCAGUCUGCAACUCGACUGCGUGAAGUCGGAAUCGCUAGUAAUCGUGAAUCAGAAUGUCACGGUGAAUACGUUCCCGGGCCUU